AAAUAACCAAUGAUUUAUAAAGAAAAAUCAUGAAAAUUAACAAGAGUGCCCAAACUUUUGCAUAUCACUGUAUUACACAUUAUACAUGUAAACCAAAAUAAAAUCUAUUACAAUAUAAGAAAUUGACACUUUUGAUACUCACUCUCAUCUGCCUUACACCUCCAUACAUGCUGGUAAAAAACUACAACGAUGUGGCAUGUUUGAAGGCCUGCAGACAACUGCUAAGUGAAGAUUUGUAUGAAGGAGUGUCAAAUAGGUGCUCAUUGUUUUCAUACUGAUCUAGGUCAGCAGUCCCUAACCCCCUGGCCACGGACCGGUACCGGUUCGUGAGUCGUUUGAUACCAGGCUGCGAGAGCUGAGGCUCAGGUGUGAAAUUUAUAGUUUUCAGGGUUUUAUCAUUUUUUUAUCGUUAUUUUUUUAUUGUUUUCAUCAUUAACUGUUUCCCUGGGUCUUUUCCCGUGUGUUAUAAAUAAAAUUUUCUUUUUUUUGGUACCGGCACUGGUUUUAUUUUGUUGUAUUUAUCUGUGGCACCUUAAAGGCCGGUCCGUGAAGUAUUGUAAACCAGUCCGUGGUGCAAAAAAGGUUGGGAACUGCUGAUCUAGGUAGUUUCUAAUAGUUAGAAAUAAGUGAUUUCUGUUUGGGUACCAUAGCUAAAACAAUGGGGUUUGGACUGCUUGAAUGACAUCUGUGUUAACUGACUCUCACUGUCAAUCCAGUGAGAAAUGGUUAACACAUUUCCAAGAUGUGUCUUUUGCUCUGCUGAGAUAGUGAUGAUGAAAACUAAGUGGGUUCCAGUUUCUUUAAGCAGCUCAAAGCAAUCAAGAAAAACUGUUAUGCUAAUUUAAAAACAAUUUAUUUGAACAGGUGUGCACAAGUCUUAACCCUCUCAGGCUCAAAUUAAACUUUUUGUUGCUAAUUCACAACCAAGUCCUGCAGUGGUACUUCUGAGUAAAAAAAGACUCAUCAGGUUGUCCACACACUGGCAAGCGAAAGCAAAGCCGACCAAAGACCACAUGGCGUCGAACAUUCAUGGACGAUCUGAGAACUGUCGACAUUGCCUGGGACGAAGCUGAAGCAGUCGCUGCUGACGGACAUCGAUGGAGAUCACUAGCUGCAGGAGUGCUGCUCUCUUUUUUUCUCUUUUUUUCCUUUUUCUAUUUUAAAAUAAAGCAGCGACAUCUUGAAUAGUGUGCUUUUUUAAAUUUAUUGUUUUUAUGCUCAUUUGACUCCAAACUAUUAGAGCUUACUUUGCUGUUUCAACCAAUGGUUUUAAAUGGCCUAAAUGGUUUUACAGUCACGCCUAGUUGGAAUUGUUUCCACCAUUCCUGUCAGGGGCUGGGUCUGUGAAUUUUGAGUUCAUUGUGGGGGUUUUUGAGAGUUCUUAUAUUAUAUUGAUUAAAUGCUUAGUUUUUGUGUUGCCAUUAUUAGUUAGGGUUUAGUUGAGUUUUAUUCUAGUUUAGGUUUUAUGUCCCCUUCUGUGAGUCUGUUCUUGUCUUUUGUUUUAGUUGUCAUGGCUAUAACUCGUCAUGUUUACUGUUUAUUUUGAAAGUUUCCAUGUUCCAUGUGUUUUUGUUUUACUUUCCCUGUGGUGUCAUGAUGUUCAUUUGUGCCAGCUAUUUCCUCAUGUGUUUCCACUUCUCCUGAUCACCUCCUGUGUGUAUUUAGUCUGUCUGUUUUCAUCCUGUCAGGUUUGUCUGUGUAUAUUUCCUGGACAUCACGUCAGAUUUAUGGAUUUUCAUGAUUCUCAGGUCAUGUUAAUGUUUUCACUUCAGAGUUCCUUGCAUGUACCUGGUCAGGAUUAUGUUCAUGUCACAUUAGUCAUAGUCGUUGCAGUUAUCAUAGUUAGUUUUUCCAGAUUAGGUUUUAGUUUUAGUUUACUCAUUCAUGUUCACCUUGCUUUAUUCCUGCAUUCUUGUUAUCAGCCCUAAUAAAGGCUCACCCUUAGUUUAAAGUUCAGCACCGUCUGCUCCUGUGUUCUGCUUUUGGGUCUAUCCCACUAAUACACCAGUGUACCCCAUAGUGACAGUUCCAGUCAUUUUUGUGUUGUGCAAUUGAUUUCUGAC
ensembl:lncRNA